rnacentral:lncRNA from 1 species
GUCACCUGUAACUUCCGGGAGAUCUCCCUUGCCACUAAGAUGUCGAUUGGGAUCUCGUUGUUACACGGCAGCUUAAGUAUUACCGUGCGAACAAGUUCCAAAGUCAUACAACACGGAUGUAAUUGGCCGAAACCUACUCAGGAAACAUUUAAGACAUUGCAUUUGCUUGUUAGGUUAACGGAUUCUUGCUGUUAAUAGAACAAUCUUUCUGCCCUCCUAAGUGUGAAUACCCUGCGAUGUGUAUGUAUAUCCUUGACAAUUAUGCCGUCCCUCAUCCCUUAAACUGAAGCUCUUAACGGCAUCCAGCUACGGUAUGCAUUUUCAACUACACGGAUUCCCGAGAUUACCGGUGCGUUUCUGAACCUCGGAUUUCCUUUUGUGUAACGAAUCCCCUCCGUAGACAUUGACGUUCCAUGUGACAUCUUCAUCUGCAGUUUCCUCUUCGCCUCUGGGAUCAAGAACAAAUCGUCGCUCUCCUAGAUCCACUGCACCCGCCGCGUAGAGGUCAGCGUUCCAGGUCACAUCUUCAUCGGCAGUUCCCUCUUCGCCCG